rnacentral:rRNA from 1 species
CUUAAACGCGAGGUUUAGCCAUCCAUAAAACCAUUCUCAGUUCGGAUUGUAGGCUGCAACUCGCCUACAUGAAGCCGGAAUCGCUAGUAAUCGCGGAUCAGCAUGCCGCGGUGAAUACGUUCCCGGGCCUUGUACACACCGCCCGUCACACCACGAGAGUUUGUAACACCCGAAGUCGGUGAAGGUAACCUUUUGGAGCCAGCCGCCGAAGGUGGGACAGAUGAUUGGGGUGAAGUCGUAACAAGGUAGCCGUAUAUUGUGCUACAUUGGACAG